ACCCUCUCAGGAUGGCACCUGGAGGGUUUCUAGUCCUCUACCAGUCUCAGAUACGAGAGGGAAAGUCAAGCAGAGGCCUACCCAUUCCCUUCCUAGCUUGGGCAGUGGCUAACGAGUAGAAGGUAAUCUGCUACAAGU